rnacentral:rRNA from 1 species
UAAGGUGGUUAUAGCAACGGGGCUCACCUCUUACCAUUCCGAACAGAGAAGUUAAGCCCGUUAGCGCCGAUGGUACUGCAUUUGUGGGAGAGUAGGUCAUCGCCUUUU